rnacentral:rRNA from 1 species
GAUGAACGCUGGCGGCGUGCCUAAUACAUGCAAGUCGAGCGAACAGACGAGGAGCUUGCUCCUCUGACGUUAGCGGCGGACGGGUGAGUAACACGUGGAUAACCUACCUAUAAGACUGGGAUAACUUCGGGACACCGGAGCUAAUACCGGAUAAUCUAUUGAACCGCAUGGUUCAAUAGUGAAAGACGGUGUUGCUGUCACUUAUAGAUGGAUCCGCGCCGCAUUAGCUAGUUGGUAAGGUAACGGCUUACCAAGGCGACGAUGCGUAGCCGACCUGAGAGGGGGAUCGGCCACACUGGAACUGAGACACGGUCCAGACUCCUACGGGAGGCAGCAGUAGGGAAUCUUCCGCAAUGGGCGAAAGCCUGACGGAGCAACGCCGCGUGAGUGAUGAAGGUCUUCGGAUCGUAAAACUCUGUUAUUAGGGAAGAACAAAUGUGUAAGUAACUAUGCACGUCUUGACGGUACCUAAUCAGAAAGCCACGGCUAACUACGUG